rnacentral:rRNA from 1 species
CCUUUAUGGAGAGUUUGAUCCUGGCUCAGGACGAACGCUGGCGGCGUGCCUAAUACAUGCAAGUCGAGCGGAGUUUAUCCUUCGGGGUAAGCUUAGCGGCGGACGGGUGAGUAACACGUAGGCAACCUGCCCCAUGAACUGGGAUAACUACCGGAAACGGUAGCUAAUACCGGAUAAUUCCUCUUUUCGCCUGAAGGGAGGAUGAAAGACGGAG